rnacentral:rRNA from 1 species
ACUGCUCAGUAACACGUGGAUAACCUACCCUUGGGACGGGAAUAAACCCGGGAAACUGGGUGUAAUACCCGAUAGUUCUCGAAUGCUGGAAUGCGUCGAGGUCGAAAGCUCCGGCGCCCAAGGAUGGGUCUGCGGCCUAUCAGGUAGUAGUGGGUGUAACGGACCUACUAGCCUACAACGGGUACGGGUUGUGAGAGCAAGAGCCCGGAGAUGGAUUCUGAGACACGAAUCCAGGCCCUACGGGGUGCAGCAGGCGCGAAACCUUUACAAUGCUGGAAACAGCGAUAGGGGGACCUCGAGUGCCAUCGUACAACGGUGGCUGUCGUUGUGCCUAAAAAGCAUAAUAUAGCAAGGGCCGGGCAAGACCGGUGCCAGCCGCCGCGGUAACACCGGCGGCUCGAGUGGUAACCGUUAUUAUUGGGUUUAAAGGGUCUGUAGCCGGCCGGAUAAGUCUCUUGAGAAAUCUGGCAGCUCAACUGUCAGGCUUUCAGGAGAUACUGUUUGGCUCGAGACCGGAAGAGGUGAGAGGUACUUCAGGGGUAGGGGUGAAAUCUUGUAAUCCUUGAAGGACCACCAGUGGCGAAGGCGUCUCACCAGAACGGAUCUGACGGCAAGGGACGAAAGCUAGGGGCACGAACCGGAUUAGAUACCCGGGUAGUCCUAGCCGUAAACGAUACCCGCUAGGUGUCGGCCACGGUGCGACCGUGGUCGGUGCCGUANGGAAACCGUGAAGCGAGCCACCUGGGAAGUACGGCCGCAAGGCUGAAACUUAAAGGAAUUGGCGGGGGAGCAC